GGCGGCACGCCUAACACAUGCAAGUCGAGCGGUAACAUAUUUAGUAGCAAUACUAGAUGAUGACGAGCGGCGGACGGGUGAGGAACACGUAGGAAUCUGCCUCUAAGCGGGGGACAACCAAGGGAAACUUUGGCUAAUACCGCAUAACAUCGAGAGAUCAAAGCUGCCGCAAGGUGGCACUUAGAGAGGAGCCUGCGUCCGAUUAGCUAGUUGGUAGGGUAAAAGCCUACCAAGGCAAUGAUCGGUAACUGGUCUGAGAGGACGACCAGUCACACUGGGACUGAGACACGGCCCAGACUCCUACGGGAGGCAGCAGUGGGGAAUCUUGGACAAUGGGGGCAACCCUGAUCCAGCGAUGCCGCGUGAGUGAAGAAGGCCUUCGGGUCGUAAAGCUCUUUAGGUCGGGACGAAGUGUAUACGAGGAUAAUGCGUGUACAUUGACGGUACUGACAGAAUAAGCACCGGCAAACUCUGUGCCAGCAGCCGCGGUAAUACAGAGGGUGCAAGCGUUAAUCGGAGUUACUGGGCGUAAAGGGCGCGUAGGCGG
rnacentral:rRNA from 1 species